rnacentral:rRNA from 1 species
UAGUCCACGCCGUAAACGAUGAUAACUAGCUGUCCGAACCCACAGGGUUUGGGUGGCGCAGCUAACGCAUUAAGUUAUCCGCCUGGGGAGUACGGUCGCAAGAUUAAAACUCAAAGGAAUUGACGGGGGCCUGCACAAGCGGUGGAGCAUGUGGUUUAAUUCGACGCAACGCGCAGAACCUUACCAACCCUUGACAUACUCGUCGCGAUUACCAGAGAUGGUUUUCUUCAGUUCGGCUGGACGAUGUACAGGUGCUGCAUGGCUGUCGUCAGCUCGUGUCGUGAGAUGUUGGGUUAAGUCCCGCAACGAGCGCAACCCUCACUGUUAGUUGCCAGCAUUUAGUUGGGCACUCUAGCAGAACUGCCGGUGCUAAGCCGGAGGAAGGUGGGGAUGACGUCAAGUCCUCAUGGGCCCUUACGGGGUAGGGGCUACACACGUGCUACAAUGGCGCUGACAGAGGGGUUAAUCCCU